GCCCGGAUGGCGAAAUGGCAGACGCAAGGGACUUAAAAUCCCUUGGCCUUAUCGGCCGUGUGGGUUCGACUCCCACUCCGGGCA
rnacentral:tRNA from 1 species